rnacentral:rRNA from 1 species
CCUACGGGAGGCAGCAGUGAGGAAUAUUGGACAAUGGGCGCAAGCCUGAUCCAGCCAUGCCGCGUGCAGGAAGACGGUCCUAUGGAUUGUAAACUGCUUUUGUACAGGAAGAAACACUCCCUCGUGAGGGAGCUUGACGGUACUGUAAGAAUAAGGAUCGGCUAACUCCGUGCCAGCAGCCGCGGUAAUACGGAGGAUCCAAGCGUUAUCCGGGAAUCAUUGGGUUUAAAAGGGUCCGUAGGCGGUUUUAAUAAGUCAGUGGUGAAAUCUGGUCGCUCAACGAUCAAACGGCCAUUGAUACUGUUAGACUUGAAUUAUUAGGAAGUAACUAGAAUAUGUAGUGUAGCGGUGAAAUGCUUAGAUAUUACAUGGAAUACCAAUUGCGAAGGCAGGUUACUACUAAUGGAUUGACGCUGAUGGACGAAAGCGUGGGAGCGAACAGGAUUAGAUACCCUGGUAGUCCACGCCGUAAACGAUGGAUACUAGCUGUUGGGCGCAAGUUCAGUGGCUAAGCGAAAGUGAUAAGUAUCCCACCUGGGGAGUACGUUCGCAAGAGAGAGACGAGAGUAGACGNGNGAGAGAGCGAGACGACGACGAGGGAGGAG